CUCCGGUUGAUCCCGCCGGACCCGACUGCUAUCGGAUUGAGAUUUAGCCAUGCGAGUCGAACGUUCCCCUGUUGCGGGGGGCGUGGCGUACGGCUCAGUAACACGUAGUCAACCUGCCCUGGAGACAUGGAUAACCCCGGGAAACUGGGAUUAAUACAUGAUAGGUCAUCUCAUCUGGAAGGAGAGAUGGCUUAAAGGGGUGUGCGAGCUUCUUUCGUAUACUUGCUCCAGGAUGGGACUGCGACUGAUCAGGCUGUUGGCGGGGUAAUGGCCCACCAAACCAGUAACCAGUACGGGCCUUGAGAGAGGGGGCCCGGAGAUGGACACUGAGAGAAGGGUCCAGGUCCUACGGGGCGCAGCAGGCGCGAAACCUUCGCAAUGCGCGAAAGCGUGACGAGGUUAAUCCGAGUGGUUCCCGCUGAGGGAAUCUUUUGUCGGCUGUAAAAAGGCCGGCGAAUAAGGGGAGGGCAAGUCUGGUGUCAGCCGCCGCGGUAAUACCAGCUCCUCGAGUGGUCGGGGCGAUUAUUGGGCCUAAAGCAUCCGUAGCCGGUUCCGUAGGUCCUCUGUUAAAUCCAACGGCUUAACCGUUGGCCUGCAGAGGAUACCGCGGGACUAGGAGGCGGGAGAGGCAGGCGGUACUCUACGUGUAGGGGUAAAAUCCUUUGAUCCGUAGAAGACCACCAGUGGCGAAGGCGGCCCGCCAGAACGCGCUCGACGGUGAGGGAUGAAAGCUGGGGGAGCAAACCGGAUUAGAUACCCGGGUAGUCCCAGCUGUAAACGAUGCAGACUCGGUGAUGAGUUGGCUUCUUGCCAACUCAGUGCCGCAGGGAAGCCGUUAAGUUUGCCGCCUGGGGAGUACGGUCGCAAGACUGAAACUUAAAGGAAUUUGGGCGGGGAGCA
rnacentral:rRNA from 1 species